GUAAAAGACAAUAUAAAAAAUAUUAUGAGAAGAAGAGAUGAAGAAAGUUUGUCAACUGAUUCAAAUAGUACAGAGUUAACAAUAGAUUCUUGUACUUUUAUAUAAUAAUGUAUAAUAUUAUUUUAGCGGUUACUGACAAGAAGGAAUCUAAUCUAAAAAAAAAAACGUUCAUGGAAUCAAACUGUUAAAUCAAUAAUGAAACCAGUUAUUUAUUUAUUUAUAAUGAAUCUAAUUUGUCCAAACAUAUACAUAAAUAGUAGUUUUUAUAUAUUACAUUAUCGUGCUUUUAAUUAUUAGAAUGUGGACAUCAAUUUCAUAAAAUGGUAUGGUAUAUAAUAUUUAGUUAAAAA
rnacentral:lncRNA from 1 species